GGGGGCACUUUAACACCUUUUUAAAAACUACCAUUUACACACAUUAAAGAGAGGUUUUAUUGGUUUUAAUGUGGAGCUAGGAAUGGGAAAAAUCUGAAAUGGCUUAAGGGUGCCCUUGGGAGUGACCUAGAAUAGGGGGGUUAAGGGUUAGUAAGGUUUAGGGUUGGUUUUACUUAAGUGAGAAAGUUUAAGUUUGUUAGGGCUAUUACAAGCUUUUAGAGAGUGGAAAAAAAAAAGAGAGAGGGAACCGUAAGAUUGAGUGGAGAGAUAUAUUGCAUUGUGAGAACAAAUAAGUUGGUGAGAGAAAGAAGAGUCACCCUAACCUUGGUGUAUUGACCGUGAAUUGAAGAGAUCUUGGAAGAGUGGAAGCUUGUUGUUUAUUGAGGAAAGAAACCUAAGAGCCUUUGGAAGCUUGCUUGGAACUAGAGGUAAGGGGUUUAACUUGGGAUAUAAUAUGGUGUAUGAUGGGUAGAAGGUAACAUGAUAAUAUUGAUGCAUGCUUUCUUUCUUUUGUGUUGAGAUU
rnacentral:lncRNA from 1 species